rnacentral:rRNA from 1 species
GUCCACGCCCUAACGAUGAUUACUAGCUAUCGGGUUUCGGACUCGGUGGCCAAGCUAACGCGAUAAGUAAUCCACCUGGGGAGUACGCUCGCAAGGGUGAACUCAAGGAAUUGACGGGCCCGCACAAGCGGUGGAGCAUGUGGUUUAAUUCGAUGGUACGCGAGGAACCUUACCUGGGCUAGAAUGCGCGUGAAGAUACCAGAAAUGGUACCGGCCCGCAAGGGACACAAAGCAAGGUGCUGCAUGGCUGUCGU